GUGCCAGCCGCCGCGGUAAUGCCGGCAGCUCAAGUGAUGUCCCAUAUUAUUGGGCCUAAAGCGUCCGUAGCUGGGUCUGAAAGUCCAUCGGGAAAUCCACUCGCUCAACGAGUGGCCGUCCGGUGGAAACUCCACACCUUGGGACCGGAAGGCUCGAAGGGUACGGCCGGGGUAGGAGUGAAAUCCUGUAAUCCCGUCCGGACCACCGAUGGCGAAAGCGCCUCGGGAAGACGGACCCGACAGUGAGGGACGAAAGCUGGGAUCUCGAACCGGAUUAGAAACCCUUGUAGUCC
rnacentral:rRNA from 1 species